UGCUAAGAAACCCCCUUGGUGUCACGCCCCGGGACCCAGCGGAAGCCCGCCCGGCGCGUGCCCAGACCCGCCAUACGUCUAAAACGUAUAAGGCGUCUAGUAACAACAAAUAUAAAAGCAAUAUUAAAGGACAUCUAGGAAUAUCAGAGCAUAAUAAAUGUCUCUAUGCUACAACAAAGGAUAAGGAAAAGCUGUAAGUCCACUAAAUAAGGCAUAAAGUAAAUACAAUAGGAAAUCCCAAAUACAAGUGCUAAGAGUAGAUACAUAGGUGGUCUCUAUACAGGGUACAAAACCCUCACUCUCUCAACUACAAAAGAAAGAGUAAACCACCUAGGCAAGUAAGCUCCUCGCUAGCUAGCUACGCGAUCCCCUUGCCGCGAUCCCGUGCCUCCGCCGGUGCCGAAGGCUCUGAAAAGGAAACCAUAAAACAGGGGCGUGAGAACUAUCAAAAAUAGUUCCCAGUGGGCAAUUACUGACUUCAGUGAAUGCACCACAAGGCCCAAAGCUACAAAAGAGGUUAGUGACUAUAGAUGUAGAAAAGCGAAAGGUAAGUAAAAUGUAACUUACUACAACAUGAUAUCUCUACUUAGCCUAAAUAGCAUAAGUAUGAAACAACUAUGCAUGAAGUAAAAGUCUCCAACUAUCAUAAUGUUCACAAUGCGAAAUAGUAAAGUUCUAUUGUUUACUAUUCUAGUCAAUGUCCAAAUAAUACUCUAAAUCAUCAUCUGUCCACAUGUCAUAACGAAUACUCAAGUCGAAUCUGAAGAGACCCACCCGAAGGCUGUCUAUGGCCCUGAGACCCACCCGAAGGCUGUCUGGCCGGUGCCGAGCCUAAUGGCCCCGUGGUAGUCAUCAUCCCCACCCUAGGGAUGAGCCUGUCCCACGGCAAUCCACUUCGGCGCCCAAUCCCGCACGGCGAAUAUGUAUCGCGAUGGCUAUCUCCGGAGUGCCGGCUUGUAGGGAGCGACCCUCACAAGCAUGUGCGAAUGAGCACAAUGGCAAGUAGUCAAACGAUCUGUCGCAAGUACCAAGUCCUCAUGUCUAAUAACAUGGAAUGUAUCGAGUGUCCCAAAGGCCUAUCUCUAUGUCAUCAUGUCUCUAACAUGGAAUAUAUAUAGCAGAUGUACAAAGGCCUAUCAAUAUAUCUCUAUGUUGCAGUUCCAUAGUUCACUAGUUUCGAGUGCCCCUUUAUGACACUCUUGUUUUCUAUGUCAAAACAUGGCAACUAUGUUCCAAAGCACAUAUUCCAAGUCAUAAUCCUCAUAAGAGAUGUAUUUUCCACUUGUAAAAUAAACACUUUUCCCAUAUGCAUGCAUUCUACUCAUAUAGCUCUACUAUAUAGUGAAAUUUUCAUAAUACACAAGGCAUGCAUUUUAAGUGCUCUAAAAUUCAUAUAAAUUCCAUUUAGCAUAGAAAUGAAUUUAAAAAUAUUUUACAACAAGUAGAAAGAGCAUAGGGGCCAUUUCGCCCCAUUUCCACGAAGCCAAACCCACCGAUGACAACGAAACUCCUCGUGCGCUCCAACGAGGGUGUCCUCUAGUCUCCUAGUACCCUAGAGGUAGAGAAACAUGCGUCACACGAACGAAACGAACCAUCAAUAGCUCAAUCAUUAAGCUAAUCAAGUAUAGGUGAGAAGAACUCACCUCUAGUGCAAAAAUCUCCUCUAAAGCUCCAAAAUGAAGCUAGGGCUCAU
rnacentral:lncRNA from 1 species